UACGGGAGAUCCAAGCGUUAUCCGGAAUCAUUGGGUUUAAAGGGUCCGUAGGCGGUUUGGUAAGUCAGUGGUGAAAGCCCAUCGCUCAACGGUGGAACGGCCAUUGAUACUGCCAGACUUGAAUUAUUAGGAAGUAACUAGAAUAUGUAGUGUAGCGGUGAAAUGCUUAGAUAUUACAUGGAAUACCAAUUGCGAAGGCAGGUUACUAACAAUACAUUGACGCUGAUGGACGAAAGCGUGGGGAGCGAACAGG
rnacentral:rRNA from 1 species